GAUGAACGCUGGCGGCGUGCCUAAUACAUGCAAGACGAGCGAAUGGAUUAAGAGCUUGCUCUUAUGAAGUUAGCGGCGGACGGGUGAGUAACACGUGGGUAACCUGCCCAUAAGACUGGGAUAACUCCGGGAAACCGGGGCUAAUACCGGAUAACAUUUUGAACCGCAUGGUUCGAAAUUGAAAGGCGGCUUCGGCUGUCACUUAUGGAUGGACCCGCGUCGCAUUAGCUAGUUGGUGAGGUAGCGGCUCACCAAGGCAACGAUGCGUAGCCGGCAUGCGGGGGUGGUCGGCCAAACUGGGACUGAGACACAGCCCAGAAUCCGACGGGAGGCAGCAGUAGGGAAUCUUCCGCAAUGGACGAAAGUCUGACGGAGCAACGCCGCGUGAGUGAUGAAGGCUUUCGGGUCGUAAAACUCUGUUGUUAGGGAAGAACAAGUGCUAGUUGAAUAAGCUGACACCUUGACGGUACCUAACCAGAAAGCCACGGCUAACUACGUGCCAGCCGCCGCCGUAA
rnacentral:rRNA from 1 species